rnacentral:rRNA from 1 species
CUAUCACUUACAGAUGGGCCCGCGGUGCAUUAGCUAGUUGGUGAGGUAACGGCUCACCAAGGCAACGAUGCAUAGCCGACCUGAGAGGGUGAUCGGCCACACUGGGACUGAGACACGGCCCAGACUCCUACGGGAGGCAGCAGUAGGGAAUCUUCCGCAAUGGACGAAAGUCUGACGGAGCAACGCCGCGUGAGUGAUGAAGGCUUUCGGGUCGUAAAACUCUGUUGUUAGGGAAGAACAAGUACAAGAGUAACUGCUUGUACCUUGACGGUACCUAACCAGAAAGCCACGGCUAACUACGUGCCAGCAGCCGCGGUAAUACGUAGGUGGCAAGCGUUAUCCGGAAUUAUUGGGCGUAAAGCGCGCGCAGGCGGUUUCUUAAGUCUGAUGUGAAAGCCCACGGCUCAACCGUGGAGGGUCAUUGGAAACUGGGGAACUUGAGUGCAG